rfam:Dipodomys ordii contig_92712, whole genome shotgun sequence.
GGUGGCUCAAUGGUAGAGCACUUGCCUUGCAUGCUCGAGGCCCUGGGUUCAAUUCCUCAGCACCA